UCGCCUGUUUAUCAAAAACAUCGCCUUUUGAAAAAAAUAGAAGGUCUAGCCUGCCCACUGAAAUUUAAAGGGCCGCGGUAUUUUGACCGUGCAAAGGUAGCAUAAUCAUUAGUCUUCUAAUUAAAGGCUGGUAUGAAUGGUUGGACGAGGUGUUGACUGUCUCAUUAAAAUUAAAUUAGAACUUAACUUUUUAGUCAAAAGGCUAAAAUUGUAUUGGAGGACGAGAAGACCCUAUAGAGCUUGAUAUUUGAAGUGUUUAGUCUUUUUAGUCGGAAUUUGACUUAAUUUUAAGAAUAUUUCGUUGGGGUGACGGGAAGAUAAUAUAAACUCUUUCUUAAAUUAUACAUUGAUGUAUGAUUAAAUGAUCCAUUAUUAGUGAUUAUAAGACUAAGUUACCUUAGGGAUAACAGCGUAAUCUUUUUCAAGAGUUCUAAUCGACAAAAAGGGUUGCGACCUCGAUGUUGGAUUAAGGGUUAUUUUUGGGUGUAGAAGUUCAAAGUUUAGGUCUGUUCGACCUUUGAAUCCUUACAUGAUCUGAGUUCAAAACCGGAGA
rnacentral:rRNA from 1 species